AUCUCUUAUGUUUUUGCAAACUCUCCAGCAAAAUGUUUCUUCUUUUCCCGGUGCGGCGUCUGUCUUUGACGACAUAUUUAACGCUGUGUGACUCUCUGUGGUCUGUACACGGAGAAUCACACAGAUGUUUGUAGAGGCAAACCUGAUU